UGGACUGAAUUGUAGUAAUUGUAGAAGUUCAGGGACUAUUCUGUUAUUUUUCCUUUUUCAUAAGUUUCUACGGGAUCUUGAUCUAAAAUAUAAAAUAUUCAUUCAUUAGCAUAUAUUUCACUUCUAAUUCAUUUCACAAUUAUUACCCUUUUAUUUUUUAAUUUACACAAUUACCCAAAACUUUUACAAUUUUUGCAAUUUAAUCCU
rnacentral:pre_miRNA from 1 species